rnacentral:rRNA from 1 species
UACGGGGGGGGGCAAGCGUUGUUCGGAAUUACUGGGCGUAAAGGGCUCGUAGGCGGCCAACUAAGUCCGACGUGAAAUCCCCAGGCUUAACCUGGGAACUGCGUCGGAUACUGGAUGGCUUGAAUUCGGGAGAGGGAUGCAGAAUUCCAGGUGUAGCGGUGAAAUGCGUAGAUAUACGGAGGAACACCUGCGGCGAAGGCGGGUAGCUGGGCCAACACUGACGCUGGAGACGCGAAAGCUAGGGGAGCGAACAGG